AUUUAAGUAGCCUAUGUAGGGCGUGGUGUUGAAGGUACUGAGGAGGAAUUAAAUUCCCUUAAAUA
rnacentral:tRNA from 1 species